rnacentral:SRP_RNA from 1 species
GCCGGGCGCGGUGGCUCACGCCUGUAAUCCUAGCACUUUGGGAGGCCGAGGCGGGUGGAUCACCUGAGGUCGGGAGUUCAAGACCAGCCUGACCAACAUGGAGAAACCCCGUCUCUA